rfam:TPA: Bos taurus chromosome 5, whole genome shotgun sequence.
UCCUUGGUGGUUCAGUGGUUAAGACUCUGAACUCAUAAUGCAGGGGGCCCAGGUUCGAUCCCUGGUCAGGGAA